rnacentral:lncRNA from 1 species
CCCCCGAGAAUAAGCGACGGAGGACAUCUUCAGAGCGCACUGAUCGGUCAAAUUCAAUUUUAUCACUCAUAAUUGAAGCAACAUCAUUUGCAUUUGACAUUUCCUGGACAGACAAUGUCUCUAAAAAUCUCAAAGAGACCAUAAUUGAAGCGACAUCAUUUGCAUUUGACAUUUCUUGGACAGACAAGGUCUCUAAAAAUCUAAAAGAGACCAGUUCCCUUGCAUUUUUCCCCAUAUCAUCUGAAACUUCAGGAGUUUGCUUGACCAAAUC